rnacentral:misc_RNA from 1 species
UUAAACAUAAGACUUAUAUUUUUGAAAUCCGAAACCAUAGUCAAGUAGCUUAUUUAAAACUUUCACAGAUUUGUAUUAGCCAACUAAAUCUCAGAUAAAUAAAGCUUCGUUGAUAAACUGAGGGUUUUUUCUUAUUAUUAUUAUCGUUACGCUUAAACGUCUUCCUUCGUUUCUAUUUGUAACAAUUUGAAAAACUAAUGCAACAACGAUUUCUAUAUUGAAACAAAAAAAUGUAAAUUUAGCACAAAAAACGCAGUUUGGUCCAAUUGUGCAUGAAAUGGAUACCGAAGUUAUAGAAAUCCUUGUGAACAAAUUGUCUUCUGAUUGGCAAAGAUUCGCUUAUAACUGGUUUCCUAAUUUUGAUUUAGCAAUUUCUAUUAUUGAACAUAUAAAUGCUGAUCAGUUUACUCGAGAAACGGAACCAAGAAUGAGAAAUUUAUUAGAAAAACUUUAUGAACAUUAUCCUGAUGAUUAUAAAUCGAAGAUUAUAUGUUCACUGAAUAAUUUGAACAGAAAUGAUGUUCUAAAAGAUAUAGAAAACAUAGAUAAACUAAAGAUAUCUAUGGCACUAAAAAAUUUUUAUAUUCAAAGGUUUAAGGAAAUUGAUGAACCUCAACCGCCACUAAAAACGACUUUUAAUGUUAAUUUACUCAACAAAUUUAUCGACCUUUGCAUUGUUGAUGCCAUAAAUGUAAAAAAGGAUACUGCAUAUACCAUUGAACGAACGGAAUUUCUUAAGAAACAAAUGAACUACAAACUAAUACCUUAUGAAGAAGUAUUUAGGGAUGAAAAGUCCUUGUUGCUAAUUUCAGGCAUAGCUGGAAUUGGCAAGUCUUGGUUGCUCAAAAAAUGUUUACUUGAUUGGGCAAAUAAUCGUAUUUGGGAAAAAGUCAAUCUUGUUUUUUAUUUUGAAUGUAAAUUUCUUAAUCUUUAUGAAAAUAUUUCAAAUAUAAACGAACUACUUAAUGUUUUUUACAAAGAUUUUGCGAAAGAUUUAGAUAUUAAUAAGCAUAACAUAUUAUUUGUGUUUGAUGGUUUAGAUGAGUUUAAAUACUUAAAUGAGUUAGUUAAUCCAAGUCCAAGUUGUGAAUAUCCGAUUCUUAAUGCUUUAGCAGAAAUCCGAAAAUAUAAUCAUGUAGUUGCUGGUAGAGUAUAUGCGACAGACCAAUUUCAAAAUUUGGAUCCAGAAAAUUGUAAUAAGUUAACUAUUCAAAUAAUGGGGUUUAACAAAGAUGGAAUAAAUAAUUAUAUAGAAAAUAAUGUUAAUCAAAACAAAAAAGAAGAUGUAAAAAAUUUUUUAAAGGGAUCUAAAACUGCAAAAGCUAUGGCAUCUGUUCCAUUUUAUUUAUCUUUAAUGUGUAAAAUUAUUAUAGAUUUUAAGCAAACUAACACUUCGUUUUUAACUAUGACUGAUUUGUAUGCAAGUAUAUUCUUUUACUUUUAUCAAAAGCAUAUUAACAGGACCAAUGAACCAAUUUACAAGACAAUGGAAAGUAAAUAUCACAAAAAAUAUGUUUUCACUAUUUGUAAAAUUGCUUAUAAAUUAUUUGUUAAAAACAAAGUCGUAUUUUCCAGAGAAGAGUUUCGAAAGUUUACCAGUGACUUGGGUAAAGUAGACAAUCAGUUUUUUGGUUUUAUUGAAAGGAUUGAAACAAACUUAGGCUAUCAUUAUCAAUUUUUACAUUUAACGUUAAUGGAGUUUUGUGCUGCUGUAUACGCAUAUAAUAAAUUUAGUGGUGAAGAGAUUAUUUCUAAAAAAAAGCUAAAUAGUUGUUUAUCAAUGAUUUGUGGGUUGACAAAUCUAAGUCAAAAUAGUUUAAUAAGGUUUUUGGUUGAUUUAAAUCAAGGUCAAUAUUGGUUUUGCAAUUGUCUAUUUAACUUUUAUGACUAUAAUGAAAAUAUGACAUCAAUCAACGAAGAGAAGAUGUCUAUGAUUCAUAUUUGUAAACAAGAUAAUACUGAGGGGACGAUAUGACGGCGGAUAGUUAAACAAAUUAACUGAUAUUAUUAACUUAAUAUUGUGCCAAUGUUUAAAACAACCCGAAAAGUACUCAAAUUGAUCUCACUUUGUGACUUUGUCAUCAUUUAUAUGUGAUUAUCAAAUUAUAUGCGCAAGAUUAUGAUAUAAUAUGCACAAGAUUAUCAGUGGGCCAGUAGGUGGACAAAAUGAUGAAGAAGUUGAAUCCAAUUUAUGCCAUGAAAGAUCAUCAAAAAUCUUAUACGUAAUCAUCUUUCAAGUCAAUUUGAUUAUUUAUUUAUUGAAUGUUUUUAUGAAAGUCAAUCUUUAAUUACGGAGGAGUUAAAACCUACUGUCAAUAAACGAAAGUGG